UAACCUCUGUGGUCUCUUGAGAUAUCUGCCCUCCAAAAUCCCUUGGAUCACCUUAAGUCUGUUCCUUGGCUAGAUCUAAAGAAAUCAGCUUUCUUAUGGCUUCACGGCACCUCAAGACCCAAAUCCUUGGGUCUGUGGGAACAGAAGGCACCAGGCAAAUGACUGUAAAGACAUCUUUCCCCAAUCUCUUCUGAUCAACAUUUGGGCUCCAGUGCAAAGUGUCCAAGGAUAGGGAUAAUCAGAGGGAAGGAGGAGGAGGCUGCUAGACUUCGUGGUCCACAGGGAUUUUGCUGGGGUUUGUUUUUCUCAGCACUGUCUGCAGAGGUGAGGACAUGAAUUAAAGAACGAGCAAAGA